rnacentral:tRNA from 1 species
GGCCCUGUGGUGUUAACACGUGUGGUUGCAAACCUCAAAAUGCAGAAUAGACCCCUGCCGGGGCUU